rnacentral:rRNA from 1 species
UAGGGAAUCUUCCGCAAUGGGCGAAAGCCUGACGGAGCAAUGCCGCGUGAGUGAUGAAGGCCUUCGGGUCGUAAAGCUCUGUUGAGGGGGAAGAAAGAUGCAUCCGAUAAUACCGGAUGCGUCCUGACGGUACUCCUCGAGGAAGCCCCGGCUAAUUACGUGCCAGCAGCCGCGGUAAUACGUAAGGGGCAAGCGUUGUCCGGAAUCACUGGGCGUAAAGCGCACGUAGGCGGCUUGGCAAGUCAGGGGUGCAAGCUCUAGGCUUAACCUAGAAAUUGCCUCUGAAACUACCUCGCUUGAGGGUCUGAGGGGAAACUGGAAUUCACGGUGUAGCGGUGAAAUGCGUAGAUAUCGUGGAGAACACCCGUGGCGAAGGCGGGUUUCUGGCAGACUUCUGACGCUGAGGUGCGAAAGCUAGGGGAGCGAACGG